GAAUUAUUAAAAUAACAUGUGCAAUACCUUGCAUGUGAAUUGGAAGAGUAGCAAAACCAAUCUACAAAUCAAAAGCAAAACAAGGAAUGAUGAGGAAAAAAAUCAAUAAGCGUACUUAAUCAAAUGAGAAUAAAGGAAGGAAUAAUCUGCACGAGCAGAGAGCCCAAAGAGUAUAAAUGAGAAUGAGAGUGAUAUUUCAGCUAAUUUGGAAGAGAAUAGAGAAUGACUUUUGGAUUACUUUCGGUAAUUAGAGAAAAUAAGAAACGAGAUUUUAGAUUCAUUUGAAUGAAAAUUGAUAUAUUUAGGUUGAGAGACCUUUGAUAUAGUCAAUCAAGAGCGGACUAAUUAAUGAGAAUCAGUGAGUAAUUAAUUUUAAGUGGAAACUAAACAAUGAAAUUAUGGGUUGUACCAGAAAUUAAAACUAUAUUUCUUCUAUAUUAUUUUUUAUGAGUAUUAUAAGAAAAUAUAAGUCUUAUAAUUGUUAAUAUAUAUAUUUUGAGGCCUAAAGUAUGGGCUUUAGUUGUUUUACCCUCAGGUUGGUCAUGAAUAUUGAAUAUAUAUAUAUAUAUAAUUAGUUUGGUUGUGCAUGAAGGACUCAAUGUAUAUCUAAUGAAUAUAGUUAUAACAUAUUUGUCUGACUCUCUUGAUAAACACAUUUGUAAAAGAUCACUCUUUGAAGAAUUCAAUUUGUGUAGCCAUACAAAUUUUAGAAAAGAUUACUUAAUCAAAUUGAAUAAAUUUCUCUAUGAAUUAAAAUAAUCCAAACACUUGGUAUAAUCAUCUUAUCUUAUUGAGUAUUUGCUAAUAUAUAUAUAUAUAUAUAUAUAUAAUUGAUUCUACUGGUCCUUGUAUUUUUAUGAAAAAGUCUUAAAAAAAAUUUCAUAAUUAUUAUUUAUGUAGAUGACAUAAAUACAAUUGAAACUCUUUAAGGGCUUCCAAAAGUUAUAUAUAACUUAAAGAAGGGAUUUCAGACAAAGGAUUUAGCUAGGAAGAAAAAAGUUGUGAUUGGAAUAAUUAUAAAUUGAAUAUUUAAGUAAUCAAGUUCUUAUGCAUCAAGAUACUUAUAAAAUAAAGGUGCUUGAGAGUUCAAAAUAUGAACAAAUCACAUUUUUGGUGCAUUCUAAUGUUUUUUUUAUGAGUAAAAUAAUAUUAUUAUAAAAUGGUACCAGAAUUACUAUAAGUAUGAUACAGAGAUAAAAACUCCCAACGUAUAUAAAGAUUAGUCCAUAUUUAUGAUACUAUAGUUGCAUAAAUAGAAUAUAACCUCUCUAUAUGCAAGCCCAACAUACAGACUUAGGAAGUAGAAUCCCGCACCACACUGACCAAAGUAGCGCCCAUGCUUCCAUCCGCCAAUGCCCCUGGAUCGGCCAAACCAAAGAUCGAUAGAGCCGAAAAAAUAUUGGGAAACAUGUUUCCUAAAUGAGAUACUGGCUCUCUUUGCCACAGUGCAAAAAAUAAUAAAUUACCAGCUGAAACAAAUAUCCUGAUUCAGACCCUCCAUGUUAACAUCGGAUCCUUGAAAUACACGGU
rnacentral:lncRNA from 1 species